ACCCAGCCACCAAGCUGUGAGGAAGUCCAAGCAGGCCACGUGGAGAGUCCUACAUGGAAGAAAACAACUAGCCUCGAGUUGCGAGCUACGUGAAUGAGGCCGUCUUAGAAACAGAUCUUCCAGUCCUCAGUGGAGCCUCCUCAGCUGAUUCCACACGAAACAGAGAUGAGCCGUCCCCAUCAAGCCCCGCCCACAUUGCAGAAUUGUGAACACAAGACACUCGGGAGAGAGUUCUGGGCUGGCAAUCCUGAGGACGGCCUUAAUGUGAUGGACACAACAUCACCAUCAUCACCAUGGGGCAUUUCGCCUCUACAGUCUACUCUCAUGGAAGAUCUGAAGCAUAAAAUGAAUUCAACACACCAUGGUCCCAGGCAACAGAGCUUUAAGUGUGAAUCAGACUCAUGUUUCUUCCUUUCUGUGAGGUAAGCCUGCUGAUGCAGCUGGACCACAGUGACUCCAUUUUGUCACCUCCACCAUCAGCCCCACCCCCGACAUGCUUGAGCUUUAGCCUCCUCACAAGGAACAUACCCAAGCCGGAUAACUUCCC